GCGAGCGCAGGCGGUUCCUUAAGUCUGAUGUGAAAGCCCCCGGCUCAACCGGGGAAGGUCAUUGGAAACUGGGGAACUUGAGUGCAGAAGAGGAGAGUGGAAUUCCAUGUGUAGCGGUGAAAUGCGUAGAUAUAUGGAGGAACACCAGUGGCGAAGGCGACUCUCUGGUCUGUAACUGACGCUGAGGCUCGAAAGCGUGGGGAGCAAACAGGAUUACAUACCCCCG
rnacentral:rRNA from 1 species